rnacentral:lncRNA from 1 species
GCAGAUGCAUUGAGCCAAAAAACAGUUAGCAUGAGCAGUUUGACUUGCGUGGGGGUGUCCAAGUGACCCUUAGCUAGAGAGGUUUAGGCUCUAGAAUCUAUGAUCAUGCAGAUGGGUAUCUCAGAGAAAGGUGGGGUGUUAGUCUAAUUUUCUUGUUUGAUCACUUGGGGACGAGCUAUGGAUAAAUUGAUAUCUAUUGUAACGACCCCUUUUGGUUGUUAUAAGGAGGCCAAUGGUGAAAAAAUUGAGCUAGAAAACUUUUUGAGUAGCGACCGACUGGGCAGGGCCAGUCUUUGAUGGAAUUUGAGUGAGGCAGGGUCUAGG